rnacentral:rRNA from 1 species
UACGUAGGGGGCAAGCGUUGUCCGGAAUUAUUGGGCGUAAAGCGCGCGUAGGCGGUCCUUUAAGUCGGAUGUGAAAGCCCACGGCUUAACCGUGGAGGGUCAUUGGAAACUGGAGGACUUGAGUGCAGAAGAGGAGAGUGGAAUUCCACGUGUAGCGGUGAAAUGCGUAGAGAUGUGGAGGAACACCAGUGGCGAAGGCGACUCUCUGGUCUGUAACUGACGCUGAGGUGCGAAAGCGUGGGUAGCGAACAGG